rnacentral:misc_RNA from 1 species
GAUUCGCAGUCACAACUCAGCCGUCGUUGAUAGUAGACCGAAAUUUGAGCCCCGACUGCUAAUCGGUUAACCGUUAUUCACUUGUUUCACCUCGUUACAAAAAAAGAAUCUGAUAACAUUGACCGAUUACAAAAAGAUCUCUUCAAACUUCCUCAAAAAUUAAAAUCAAUGAGUUCAGAUUGGCGCCUUUAGAGUUUUCGUGAGUGUCAAACCCUCUCAACUCCCGUUGUGAGAUAAAGUGAACGUAAACGUUUCAAUUGUCCUCCCCCCCCCUGGUUUUUUUUUAAAGGAAUUCAUUUAAAUAGGCCAUUAACGUGAACGUUUGAAUCCCGACAUGGGACCGAUUGAUCCGGAAGGUGGCGAUAUGAAAGCAAUCGUGGCAGGUUCGCCAUCGUCAGGUUCGUCUUCCCUGAAUAUGACGUCACCGGUGGUUAUUGUGCCGGCAAUCGAUGAGAGACCAACGGUGACAACCAUUACCGUUACUGGUGUGGAUGGAACACUUCAAAACAAUGGAGAGGCUUCGUCUACUACCCCAGCAGUUCAGACUCCCGUCGUUGCCUGCGCUCAGCCGUGUGGCUACUCGUCGGCGUACGUCACCAACAGGAUGCACAACACUCAGUUAGGAGCAGACCCUGGCGGCCCUGGCAUCUGUGCAUUCAUCUUGACACUCUUCUCGUUCCUGCUCAUUUUGGCCACGUUCCCGCUCUCGCUAUGCUUCUCCGUCAAGGUGGUGCAAGAGUACGAACGAGCUGUUAUAUUCCGCUUGGGUCGUUUGCUCAAAGGAGGUGCCCGCGGUCCCGGUAUCUUCUUCAUCGUCCCGUGCAUCGAUACUUACCGCAAAGUUGAUCUUCGUACCGUGUCGUUCGAUGUCCCACCGCAAGAGAUCUUGUCACGCGACUCGGUGACGGUGGCCGUCGACGCGGUCGUCUAUUACCGCGUGCAAAAUCCAACUAUAGCCGUUUCGAAUGUGGAAAAUUUCAGUCACUCGACCCGUUUGCUGGCCGCCACGACUUUACGUAACGUGUUGGGUACCAAAAAUUUGGCCGAAAUUCUGUCUGAACGUGAGACCAUCUCUCAUACGAUGCAGAGCUCAUUGGACGAGGCCACCGACCCUUGGGGUGUUAAAGUCGAACGUGUUGAAAUUAAGGACGUUCGUUUGCCCGUGCAACUUCAACGUGCAAUGGCUGCCGAAGCCGAGGCUGCACGUGAAGCUCGUGCUAAAGUCAUCGCUGCUGAGGGAGAACAAAAAGCUUCUCGUGCUCUUCGAGAUGCGGCUGAAGUCAUUGCUGAAUCUCCAGCCGCUCUUCAGCUACGCUAUCUUCAAACGCUCAACACCAUUUCAGCCGAGAAGAAUUCAACCAUCAUUUUCCCGUUGCCGAUCGAUAUAUUGAAACAUUUCAUCAAACCUAGUAAGGUAGAUAAAUAUGAUUUGUGAGGAAAGCAGCCAUGUCACGUGAUGGAUAGAUUGGCAAUCGACAUAACUUUUCGGUUGCAGUACGACGACCGCACACUGCCCACACACAAAAAAUCAUAGUUACAUUGAAAACGACACUGGCACGCUAUAGAAGAAUCUCAGUCAUUCAGCCAACAAUUGAACCAGACGACGAAAGGAUCUUUUAUGAUCCAAAAUGGCGGCUCACCUGAAUUCACCGCUGUCAUUUCCUAAAUUUUAGAACGCUAUUAAAAAAAAAAAAAAAAAAAUCUAUCCCUCCACAUGAACGAUUUGUUAAAAAAAUUACUUAUGAUUUUUUUUCUUUAGCUGAUGAAUGACAUUUUCUUUUAACUCGUUUGUUUUGAACAAGAAUACGAAGCUGGCGUUAUUGCCAUGUCAUCAUCACACGUUAUGUACAAUUGAAUUUCGUCCUACAGUAAUUCUAUGUGUGUUCGGCCGUGACACUAAUUUUAUCUCUUCAUGACAUUAUCAAACAAAAAGAUAAGCACGAAUUGGGUAGGAUUACAUUAACAUCAAUCCAAAGUCAAUAAUAUUUGACAAGAAAUCUGUCCAUUCAGUCCAAAUCUCCUUUCAUCUUUUUCUUGUUUCGCUUUUUGUGCUCGGAUGAUUGCUUUAUCGGGUGCAGGGAUUUUCAUUAUGUGUGUGUAAAAAAAGAAAACCUUCUCUGAUUCCCAAUCACGAGCGAUAUUUUGUCCCUUAUCUUUUUAUCAUCUAAUGGUCGAAUGUGCACACAAUGCUAGUCCCUCUAUGUCUGUUCCCUUUCAUUUCUCAUACGGUCAAAGAGAAAAAGGAAAUCCUGAAUUUUGUCUUUUCUUUUCUAAACAUUUGUCUCAAUCGUAUUUAUUAUUAUUACAUCAUCAUUGUUAUCUACUUAUAUAUCUCUGGUAAAUACACAAGAUUGCAACAAUCA